GACGAACGCUGGCGGCGUGCUUAACACAUGCAAGUCGAACGAUGAUGGAGGAGCUUGCUCCUCCGGAUUAGUGGCGAACGGGUGAGUAACACGUGAGUAACCUGCCCUUGACUCUGGGAUAAGCGCUGGAAACGGCGUCUAAUACCGGAUAUGACAACCGACGGCAUUGUCUGGUUGUGGAAAGAAUUUCGGUCAAGGAUGGACUCGCGGCCUAUCAGCUUGUUGGUGAGGUAAUGGCUCACCAAGGCGACGACGGGUAGCCGGCCUGAGAGGGUGACCGGCCACACUGGGACUGAGACACGGCCCAGACUCCUACGGGAGGCAGCAGUGGGGAAUAUUGCACAAUGGGCGCAAGCCUGAUGCAGCAACGCCGCGUGAGGGAUGACGGCCUUCGGGUUGUAAACCUCUUUUAGUAGGGAAGAAGCGAAAGUGACGGUACCUGCAGAAAAAGCACCGGCUAACUACGUGCCAGCAGCCGCGGUAAUACGUAGGGUGCAAGCGUUGUCCGGAAUUAUUGGGCGUAAAGAGCUCGUAGGCGGUUUGUCACGUCUGCUGUGAAAACUGGAGGCUCAACCUCCAGCCUGCAGUGGGUACGGGCAGACUAGAGUGCGGUAGGGGAGAUUGGAAUUCCUGGUGUAGCGGUGGAAUGCGCAGAUAUCAGGAGGAACACCGAUGGCGAAGGCAGAUCUCUGGGCCGUAACUGACGCUGAGGAGCGAAAGCAUGGGGAGCGAACAGGAUUAGAUACCCUGGUAGUCCAUGCCGUAAACGUUGGGAACUAGAUGUAGGGGCCAUUCCACGGUUUCUGUGUCGCAGCUAACGCAUUAAGUUCCCCGCCUGGGGAGUACGGCCGCAAGGCUAAAACUCAAAGGAAUUGACGGGGGCCCGCACAAGCGGCGGAGCAUGCGGAUUAAUUCGAUGCAACGCGAAGAACCUUACCAAGGCUUGACAUAUACCGGAAACGUGCAGAAAUGUACGCCCCGCAAGGUCGGUAUACAGGUGGUGCAUGGUUGUCGUCAGCUCGUGUCGUGAGAUGUUGGGUUAAGUCCCGCAACGAGCGCAACCCUCGUCCUAUGUUGCCAGCACGUAAUGGUGGGAACUCACAGGAG
rnacentral:rRNA from 1 species